rnacentral:rRNA from 1 species
GCCAGUGGGCGGCGGGCUUACACAUGCAGUCGAGCGGUAGCACAGGGGAGCUUGCUCCCUGGGUGACGAGCGGCGGACGGGUGAGUAAUGUCUGGGAAACUGCCUGAUGGAGGGGGAUAACUACUGGAAACGGUAGCUAAUACCGCAUAACGUCGCAAGACCAAAGAGGGGGACCUUCGGGCCUCUUGCCAUCAGAUGUGCCCAGAUGGGAUUAGCUAGUAGGUGGGGUAAUGGCUCACCUAGGCGACGAUCCCUAGCUGGUCUGAGAGGAUGACCAGCCACACUGGAACUGAGACACGGUCCAGACUCCUACGGGAGGCAGCAGUGGGGAAUAUUGCACAAUGGGCGCAAGCCUGAUGCAGCCAUGCCGCGUGUGUGAAGAAGGCCUUCGGGUUGUAAAGCACUUUCAGCGAGGAGGAAGGUGGUGAACUUAAUACGUUCAUCAAUUGACGUUACUCGCAGAAGAAGCACCGGCUAACUCCGUGCCAGCAGCCGCGGUAAUACGGAGGGUGCAAGCGUUAAUCGGAAUUACUGGGCGUAAAGCGCACGCAGGCGGUUUGUUAAGUCAGAUGUGAAAUCCCCGGGCUCAACCUGGGAACUGCAUUUGAAACUGGCAAGCUAGAGUCUCGUAGAGGGGGGUAGAAUUCCAGGUGUAGCGGUGAAAUGCGUAGAGAUCUGGAGGAAUACCGGUGGCGAAGGCGGCCCCCUGGACGAAGACUGACGCUCAGGUGCGAAAGCGUGGGGGAGCAAACAGGAUUAGAUACCCUGGUAGUCCACGCUGUAAACGAUGUCGAUUUGGGAGGUUGUGCCCUUGAGGCGUGGCUUCCGGAGCUAACGCGUUAAAUCGACCGCCUGGGGAGUACGGCCGCAAGGUUAAAACUCAAAUGAAUUGACGGGGGCCCGCACAAGCGGUGGAGCAUGUGGUUUAAUUCGAUGCAACGCGAAGAACCUUACCUACUCUUGACAUCCAGAGAACUUUCCAGAGAUGGAUUGGUGCCCUUCGGGAACUCUGAGACAGUGCUGCAUGGCUGUCGUCAGCUCGUGUUGUGAAAUGUUGGGUUAAGUCCCGCACGAGCGCACCCCUUAUCCCUUUGUUGCAGCGAUCGUGGUACUCAAGGAGACUGCCAGUGAUAAACUGGAGAAAGGGUGGGAUGACGUCAAGUCCAUCCAUGG